UACGGGGGGGGCAAGCGGUUGUUCGGAAUUACUGGGCGUAAAGGGCGCGUAGGCGGUUCGCUAAGUUGGAUGUGAAAACUCUGGGCUCAACCCAGAGCCUGCAUCCAAAACUGGCGGGCUAGAGUUCUGGAGGGGGUAGCGGAAUUCCUGGUGUAGCGGUGAAAUGCGUAGAUAUCAGGAGGAACACCGGUGGCGAAGGCGGCUACCUGGACAGAAACUGACGCUGAGGCGCGAAAGCUAGGGGAGCAAACAGG
rnacentral:rRNA from 1 species